rnacentral:rRNA from 1 species
CCUACGGGAGGCAGCAGUAAGGAAUAUUGGUCAAUGGCCGGGAGGCUGAACCAGCCAAGUCGCGUGAGGGAAGACGGCCCUACGGGUUGUAAACCUCUUUUGUCAGGGAGCAAGGUGCAGGUCGGGACCUGCUGUGAGAGUACCUGAAGAAAAAGCAUCGGCUAACUCCGUGCCAGCAGCCGCGGUAAUACGGAGGAUGCGAUCGUUAUCCGGAUUUAUUGGGGUAAAAGGGUGCGCAGACGGAGGCACAAGUCAGCGGUAAAAUCGCGGGGCGAAACCCGGCUCCGCCGUUGAAACUGUGUCGCUUGAGUGCGCGAGGGGUAGGCGGAAUGCGUGGUGUAGCGGUGAAAUGCAUAGAUAUCA